UGGGGAAUAUUGCACAAUGGAGGGAACUCUGAUGCAGCGACGCCGCGUGAGUGAUGAAGGAAUUCGUUUCGUAAAACUCUGUUCUAUGGGAAGAAAAGGACUGUACCAUAGGAGAAAGCUCCGGCUAAAUACGUGCCAGCAGCCGCGGUAAUACGUAUGGAGCGAGCGUUGUCCGGAAUUAUUGGGCGUAAAGGGUGCGCAGGCGGCUUUACAAGUUGGAUGUGAAAUAUUGUGGCUCAACCACAAACGUGCAUCCAAAACUGCAAAGCUUGAGUUAAGGAGAGGUAAGUGGAAUUCCUGGUGUAGCGGUGGAAUGCGUAGAUAUCAGGAGGAAUACCGGUGGCGAAGGCGACUUACUGGACUUAAACUGACGCUCAGGCACGAAAGCGUGGGGGGCAAACAGG
rnacentral:rRNA from 1 species